AUUAAACGCUGGCGGCAUGCCUUACACAUGCAAGUCGAACGGCAGCACGGGGGCAACCCUGGUGGCGAGUGGCGGACGGGUGAGUAAAGCAUCGGAACGUAUCCUGGAGUGGGGGAUAAUGUAGCGAAAGUUACGCUAAUACCGCAUAUUCUGUGAGCAGGAAAGCAGGGGAUCGCAAGACCUUGCGCUCUGGGAGCGGCCGAUGUCGGAUUAGCUAGUUGGUGGGGUAAAGGCCUACCAAGGCGACGAUCCGUAGCGGGUCUGAGAGGAUGAUCCGCCACACUGGGACUGAGACACGGCCCAGACUCCUACGGGAGGCAGCAGUGGGGAAUUUUGGACAAUGGGCGGAAGCCUGAUCCAGCCAUGCCGCGUGAGUGAAGAAGGCCU
rnacentral:rRNA from 1 species